rnacentral:lncRNA from 1 species
GUAAUAGUGUAAAGUACCUCUGGGAUGAGAUUGGAUGUAGCCAUUGAGGACGGAUUUCAAAGCUUUGGUGACUGCGGCGGUUGUCGAAGAUGAUCAUUGAUCCUUUGUUUUGAUUCGUGAAGGCGAGAAAGCUUGGCUGGCUUACUAGAGAAGGUGGAAAGAUGGGACAGUUAUAUAAUAAGAUUUUGACCCGGUGAAUCCUGAAAAUCAUGGGAGGGGCUAUCGCAAAACCUGGAGAAAAGGAUAAUGAUUGCGGCAAUGACUCUUUUGGUUUUGGAAGGAUAUCAGCUCAGAACCUGUGAAGGUACCGGAAUGACUUAAGGGCUAAGUUUGAGAAGAUAUGGCAAGGAUGACUUCAUGAUCAAAGAGAAAUCAAAGAAGAUUAAGUGGAGAUUUGGAAAGUUAUGGAAGAUCAAUCUCAUCCCGAAGCUACCGACGUGCCAGGCCCACAUGCAAGUGAAAAUAAGACUCCUGAGCAUCUAAG